AGGACGAACGCUGGCGGCACGCUUAACACAUGCAAGUAGAACGAGGUCCAUCCACUCGCAAGAGUGGUGAAGACCUAGUGGCGAACGGGUGAGUAACACGUGAGAAACCUGCCCCGAAGACCGGGAUAACUCACCGAAAGGUGAGCUAAUACCGGAUGCCUUCACGACGUCUCAUGGCGAUGUAGAAGAAAUGGAUUCCGCGUUUGGGAGGUCUCGCGGUCCUAUCAGCGUAGUUGGUGAGGUAACGGCUCACCGAAGGCGACGA
rnacentral:rRNA from 1 species